rnacentral:rRNA from 1 species
AUUUUAUGGAGAGUUUGAUCCUGGCUCAGGACGAACGCUGGCGGCGUGCCUAAUACAUGCAAGUCGAGCGGACCGAC